CCACGUCCGACGGUCACCCACUGCCACGCUGUCGGUAGGAAGCGCACACCCGCACGCGCCGACGCAGAAGCACAACCUCUCAGGCACACACACAGCCGGCCAGUCGGUCCCACGUGCGACCGAUGCAUACUGAGCAGCCAGUAAGGACCAUCGCUAUUCCAGAUGGGACAUUGCAAUGAAGAGGAGAGGCACGGCCUGCCUCCAUGGAGCUGAUGUUAUUUUAGGGAGGCAGAUGGUAAUCAAAGAAACAAGAACUGUUUCUGAGGAGUUAGCAUCCCAGCUGAGGCCUGAAUAAAGGGAAGGACUCAGAAUUUUCCAGGAAGGCGACCACAGAGCAUAUUCAAGGACCUGCUGCAAUCCAUCCCGAGGAUAAUAAUGGAGGUCGUCAGAAAAGAGAUCUCAUGAGGGUCUGUGUUCACACACUUUGGCGCUCCUGAGGCCUACUCAGGGAACCGGAACAGAGGUCCUACUGAGGACAUAGGGCAACAUUUGCUUUUCUGGGAAAAAGAAUUUAAGCAAUGGUCAGUCCCCAGCAUGGAAAAUCCUAGUGUGGGGAGAGGUUAUGGAGGCAGUGAAUCUGUGAGGAGUGUCAGGAUACCUUCGAGCCCUGUCAAACAAAAGAAUGUUGCUGUGGAGAAGACACCACACAUGUUAGUCACACAUGGAGGAAGCUUUGAGCAGGUUCCAGAGCCAGAUGUGUUGUAGGCAACCUGUGUG